rnacentral:rRNA from 1 species
UACGUAGGUGGCAAGCGUUGUUCGGAAUUAUUGGGCGUAAAGGGCGCGUAGGCGGUUUGUUAAGUCAGCUGUGAAAGCCCGGGGCUCAACCCCGGAGGGGCAGCUGAUACUGGGCGACUAGAGUGUGGUAGAGGGUAGUGGAAUUCCCGGUGUAGCAGUGAAAUGCGUAGAGAUCGGGAGGAACAUCCAUGGCGAAGGCAGCUACCUGGACCAACACUGACGCUGAGGCACGAAAGCGUGGGGAGCAAACAGG